rnacentral:rRNA from 1 species
AGCGAACGCUGGCGGCAGGCUUAACACAUGCAAGUCGAGCGCCUCGCAAGAGGAGCGGCAGACGGGUGAGUAACACGUGGGAAUCUACCCAUCCCUGCGGAACAACUCCGGGAAACUGGAGCUAAUACCGCAUACGCCCUACGGGGGAAAGAUUUAUCGGGGAUGGAUGAGCCCGCGUUGGAUUAGCUAGUUGGUGGGGU